UUGACUUUUUUUUUCUUUUUCUUUAAUUUCCUUCUCUUCAGCCUUUCAAUGGGAAAUAUUAUCUCCUUUCAAAUUACACAAUAAUAUUUUUCCUUAUUAUUCAAAUGAUUUGAUGUGGAUUCCAUAAAUAGAUUGAUAUUUUUCUCAUAUAAUUCUUCUUGCCCUUUGACAUUCUAAUCACUCUUCCUAUAAAUUUCUCAAUCAAAAUUGAUUUUCUUUUUCAAUACAUAUCUCCUCAUUGAAGAAAUUAUAGUGCAGCAUAUUUCAAUAUGUAUUGCCAAUAAAGUAGGCCCUCAUUGAAAAAAUUAUAAUGCAACAUAUUCUCAUGAAAUUUUUUUAUCUUGAAGAGAAACGUUUAUUUACACAUGACUUUUUUCCUUACACAAUAUCUUCUUAAGGGUUGAGCAAAGAGGAGAAGGUUGAAGAAGGCAGGAAACAAAUUAAGAAUAGGUGGAAUAUAGAUUGUAUAUUACAUUUCACAAGAGAAAAAAGCAAAGUUAGAGAAUCCAAUGUUGGUGAUUACCAG
rnacentral:lncRNA from 1 species